GACGAACGCUGGCGGCGUGCUUAACACAUGCAAGUCGAACGGAAAGGCCCUGCUUUUGUGGGGUGCUCGAGUGGCGAACGGGUGAGUAACACGUGAGUAACCUGCCCUUGACUUUGGGAUAACUUCAGGAAACUGGGGCUAAUACCGGAUAGGAGCUCCUGCUGCAUGGUGGGGGUUGGAAAGUUUCGGCGGUUGGGGAUGGACUCGCGGCUGAUCAGCUUGUUGGUGGGGUAGUGGCUUACCAAGGCUUUGACGGGUAGCCGGCCUGAGAGGGUGACCGGCCACAUUGGGACUGAGAUACGGCCCAGACUCCUACGGGAGGCAGCAGUGGGGAAUAUUGCACAAUGGGCGGAAGCCUGAUGCAGCAACGCCGCGUGCGGGAUGACGGCCUUCGGGUUGUAAACCGCUUUCGCCUGUGACGAAGCGUGAGUGACGGUAAUGGGUAAAGAAGCACCGGCUAACUACGU
rnacentral:rRNA from 1 species